UUAAAUUCCAAAUGCAAGACCGCAGGCACGCUGACAGAAUCAUGGGAGUGAACUAUGAUUACCUGGCGUGCUGUGCACUGCAUGCUGACAAGCAUCGGAAAGGAAUUUUGGAAUGAUUCAAAUGAAUUACCAAGGAUGGUCGGGAGGAGCAUGCCCCUGUGAUGAUCUAUGAGAAGUGGAGAGGAUUGCCGAAACCAAUGUAUUGAAGUAUCCACCAGUGGAGGCAUGGGCAUCAAUGGUCCAGUUCAGACAGUGUUUUCUUGAUGAUGGAUCAGCUACUCUGAAGGAGGUGAGUCAUGGGAGACUCCCACACCAGAACUCUGCGGAGAAAGGACUACACAUUGCCGACAGUGGCUUCAUCCCAGAGUGGACCAUGAGUAAUCGCAAGAACGUGGUUUACCUUAAGAAAUAACAUCUGUCUCAAGAACUGGUUACUGGAAAAGUACUAAUCUCAAAGUAGUAAUUCUUCUACUCUCUGCAAUUUCCAGACACUGAAGACCAACUGAAGCAGGGAGAAUAAACCAGUGAGACAGGGACAUUAUGUUACCCAACUUAAAAAGGCUUGUCUGACACAACUUUGGAGGGUUGAUUACUAAGAGGACAAUUAAGCCAAAAAAAAAAAAAAAAA
rnacentral:lncRNA from 1 species